AUGAACGCUAGCGACAGGCCUAACACAUGCAAGUCGAGGGGCAGCACAAGGAGCAAUCUGAGGUGGCGACCGGCGCACGGGUGAGUAACACGUAUGCAACCUGCCUGUAAGCGGGGAAUAACCCGUUGAAAGACGGACUAAUACCGCAUAAUACUAAAUUACUGCAUGGUAAUUUAUUUAAACAUUUAUGGCUUACAGAUGGGCAUGCGCAUGAUUAGCUAGUUGGAGAGGUAACGGCUCCCCAAGGCAACGAUCAUUAGGGGUUCUGAGAGGAAGGUCCCCCACACUGGUACUGAGACACGGACCAGACUCCUACGGGAGGCAGCAGUGAGGAAUAUUGGUCAAUGGACGAGAGUCUGAACCAGCCAAGUCGCGUGCAGGAAGAAUGUCCUAAUGGAUUGUAAACUGCUUUGCAGGGGAAUAAAGUGCAUCACGUGUGAUGUUUUGUAUGUACUCUGCGAAUAAGGAUCGGCUAACUCCGUGCCAGCAGCGGC
rnacentral:rRNA from 1 species